rnacentral:rRNA from 1 species
UACGUAGGGUGCAAGCGUUGUCCGGAAUUAUUGGGCGUAAAGAGCUCGUAGGCGGUUCGUCGCGUCGGCUGUGAAAUCCCGAGGCUCAACCUCGGGUCUGCAGUCGAUACGGGCGGACUGGAGUUCGGCAGGGGAGACUGGAAUUCCUGGUGUAGCGGUGAAAUGCGCAGAUAUCAGGAGGAACACCGGUGGCGAAGGCGGGUCUCUGGGCCGUUACUGACGCUGAGGAGCGAAAGCGUGGGGAGCGAACAGG